UUUCUCACCACAAUUUUCCACAAACCAAAUCCUUAAAUCAAAACCCAUAAGCUCUCACCUCUCUCUACUUUCUCUCUCUAUUCACCCUUCAUUAAAGAAGCUUUGAAGUUUGAAGAAGAAGAGCAAAUCCUCCAAGGUUCUACUCAAAUUUCGUGGCUAUUCAUCUUUAAGUGAUGAUUUUUGUGCAUAGAAGCCAUACUUAGUACGUGUGAUGCACUUACUCAUAUUUAUCCCUUCUUUCCAAACAUUUUAGGUUGUGAUUGUUAAAGAGUUUGUGGUCAAUUGCUAGGAAGACUUGGAUCUUUUUUCAAGUCAUUGGUGAAUCCUCAUGUCCGGGGAUGUUGUCAUGUUCCACUCUAUGUAUGAGACUUUAUUUUUUCUUUUAUCAUUGAGACAAUUUAUGUAAGCCUAUAAUGGCGUAUUGUUAUUGUAUUGGCUAUGUCUAAACGUUUAUACUCUUGUACAUGAUUUAAUGUGAUACAAAGUAUUAGACUAAA